rnacentral:rRNA from 1 species
GUAGCGAAAUGCGAUACUUGGUGUGAAUUGCAGAAUCCCGCGAACCAUCAAUUCUUUGAACGCAAGUUGCGCCCGAAGCCAUUCGGCCGAGGGCACGCCUGCCUGGGUGUCGUGAAUCCCCUUGCCCCUAGGCACCCGCAUGAGCAUUGGCGGGGCUAUAUGCCAGGGCGCAGAAUAUGGUCUCCCGUGGGAUCGGCGUGCACGGCAUGUCGAGGUGCGGCUGGCCGAAAAUCGAGCAUGGCGGUGACGGGCACCACGGCGUUCGGUGGAUCGAAUGAGAUUGGCUGCGCCGUGGGCUCUGCAUGCGGCGGGCUCCGGACUUUGAAUAUAAUCCCCGAGUGCGAUCCCAGGUCAGGCGGGGCUACCCGCUGAGUUUAAGCAUAUCAAUAAGCGGAGGAAAAGAAACUAACGAGGAUUCCCUUAGUAGCGGCGAGCGAACCGGGAAGAGCCCAGCGUGAAAAUCGUCCGUCGUCGGCGGCCGAAUUGUAGUCUGGAGAAGCGUCCUCAGUGACGGACCGGACCCAAGUUCACUGGAAGGUGGCGCCGGAGAGGGUGAGAGCCCCGUCGUGUCCGGACCCUGU